GACGAACGCUGGCGGCGUGCUUAACACAUGCAAGUCGAACGGAAAGGCCCUGAGUUUGUGGGGUGCUCGAUUGGCGAACGGGGGAGUAAAACGUGAGUAACAUGCACUUAACUUUCGGAUAACUUCUGGAAACAGGGGCUCAUACCGGAGAGGAUCUCCUGCUGCAUGGGGGUGGUUGGAAAGAUUCGGCGGUGGUGGAUGGAUUCGCGGCUUAUGAGCUGGAUGGUGGAGUAGUGGCGUUCCAAGGCUUUGAAGGGUAGCCGGCCUGAGAGCGUGAACGGCGACCAUGGUCCUGAGAGACGGAGCAGACGGCUACGGGAGGCAGCAGUGGGGAAUAUUGCAGAAUGACGGGACGCCUGAUGCGGCGGCGCCGCGUGCGUGAUGCCGGCCUUCGAGUUGUAAACCGCUUUCGAAUGAGACGAAGCGUGCUUGACGGUAAUGGGUAAGAAAGCCCCGGCUAACUACGUG
rnacentral:rRNA from 1 species